rnacentral:rRNA from 1 species
GACCAACGCUGGCGGCGUGCUUAACACAUGCAAGUCGAACGGAAAGGCCCUGCUUGCAGGGUACUCGAGUGGCGAACGGGUGAGUAACACGUGGGUGAUCUGCCCUGCACUUCGGGAUAAGCUUGGGAAACUGGGUCUAAUACCGGAUAGGAACCAUCUUUAGUGUGGUGGUUGGAAAGUUUUUUCGGUGUAGGAUGAGCUCGCGGCCUAUCAGCUUGUUGGUGGGGUAAUGGCCUACCAAGGCGGCGACGGGUAGCCGGCCUGAGAGGGUGUACGGCCACAUUGGGACUGAGAUACGGCCCAGACUCCUACGGGAGGCAGCAGUGGGGAAUAUUGCACAAUGGGCGCAAGCCUGAUGCAGCGACGCCGCGUGGGGGAUGAAGGCCUUCGGGUUGUAAACUCCUUUCGCUAGGGACGAAGCUUUUUGUGACGGUACCUAGAUAAGAAGCACCGGCUAACUACGUG